UUGAAUAUUUAUUCGCUUAUCUAUUUUUUUCUUAAAAAAAGAGAAACUUGAAUUCCCGGUCAUUUUUUGUCGGUUGAGAGGUCGGAGGGUGUCUUUUGUUACGUUAAUUAAAUAUUAGGAUGUAAUUACGCAUGUUUUAAAUAUUAGGAUGUAAAUCUCAAUUUUGUUAUAAAAUUGGGGUGCAAAAUGUACUUUAAUCCAAAUUUAAGUGACAUUUGGCGAAGAUACAUUUGAGACAGGGAUCUGAGAAAAUCUAGAGAGAGAAAAUCUAGUAAGAAUGAGAAAGGGGAAAAAAAGACUGUACCGAGAGUUAGAUCGUUUCAGCUGAAACUAAGGAAGGUUUAUUCUAUUCUGCCCACAGUUUUACAAGUAUAUUCAAAAACCAAUAUAUAUAUAUAUAUAUAUAUAUAUAUAUAUAUAUAUAUAUAUAUAUAU
rnacentral:lncRNA from 1 species